ACAUAUUUCUGCAUUUCCUAAAUUAGUACUCCCUCCGUAAACUAAUAUAAGAGCGUUUAGAACACUAUUUUAGUGAUCUAAACGUUUUUAUAUUAGUUUACAAAGUGAGUAUUAUUUUAAAUAUAGUGAUAACAAAAAUAAAUGUUGGUACUUUGAAUGUCGAAGGUUUUGUAGUACAUUUCUUGGAACGUUACAAAAUUUCUGUGGUUUCCAGUUUUUCCCCUCGCUCACUCACUCACCCACUCACUCAGUCGCCUCUUCACGCUCGUUCCCCUCGCUCACCCAGUCCACCAAAUCCCUAGCCCGCGGCGGCGACGCACCUCCCCCUCACUCGCGUCGGCGAAUCAACCGCGUCGCCGCCCUUCUCCUCAGGCGUCGCCGCCGGGCCUUCUCGUCUGCGUCGCCUCUCCCUCUUGCCCGCAUCCUCUGCGUCACAGUCGAGCCAAAGUUGGAUAUUUUAGCGAGGUCGAGUAGGAGCGUGAGAAGCGCGGGCACGGCGGCCUUGUCCUGCUCGAGGAAGGCGGCGACGGAUGCUAGCGCUCCUCGCCGCCAUCGACCUGCAAGGAGGAGUGCCGUGUUGGACGCUGCCAUCUCCGACGCUGCUGGUACUCCUCCGCCGCUACGAGUGCCCCGUCACCUGCGCCCAGGUCAAGCGCGAAGUCGAGCUCCCCAUGCUUGACCUGCAAGAUGUACUGUGGUCAAGAACUGCUCUCUGCCGCGGGAGUAGAUUGGAAAGGCUGCUGCUGCUCCUGUACAAUGCGGUUGCUGCUGCUCCUGUACAAUGCGGCUGCUACUGCCACUACCACUCAUCGAUUCGGGCAUGAGCACAUUCUUGGAGUGGAUCUGCAUUUCAAAAAGUUAACAAGUGGGAGUACAUGGAGUACUACAUUUUAAGUCGAGGAGAAGAUGGUAACUGCUCCGUGAUGAUGCCACCAGCACCUACGACUUCCUCGACCACCACCACCAUGAUGACGACUUCCUCGAACGUGCGAGGCAGGUGAGGAGGAGGGUUACCAGAGGCUGGAGGAAAAUGAGAGCAGGGACUGCCCGCCGAGCAUCCCCAGCCGGUAGCAAGGGACAAGGGAGCAGUAGGCACUACGUACCUCCAUUAUUAUAGUUAAAUGUCAUGUCUGGACUGACCUUUCCUUCUUCCUGGGCAGCCAACACUUUGUAGUUGGAAAUACUAUCAGUUUACACUCCUGAUGAAGUGAUGAUUCUUCAAAUGAGAGAUGUUCCAAAAUUUAGUGAUUACCUGAUGUUUCAGAUGAUGAUCAGGAUGAUUGACAAGGAAGAAAUGUUCCACAGGCUUGCUAUCUGAUUCAUCGGGUCUGGUGUUACUCAUAUUAUGGGCAGUCAUACUAAUGCAAGGCCGAACCAUCAGAUUGCUCCACCCCAACACAUAGUUGAAAUAAAUGUCAAUGUUGCUCUACUGCAGUAUGCAUCAUUACCAGUUGUGGCCGCGGUGUGCAGAGACCGAUCGGGUAUUUAUAUUAGAUCUUGAGCUAUUUCUCUUGUGGGAAAUUUAGAUCCCACAACACUUGAAGCCUUUGCAUUCCGAGAAGCGCUGGCCCUUGCAGAUGACUUCUAGGAGCGAAGAAUUUUUGUUGCUUCAGAUUGCAAGAUUGUCAUUUGAUAAUAUCAAGCAGAAGAGUGCGGUUGUAUAUGGCGCAAUUAUCUGAGAAAUGUUAGAUCAUUCUAGAUUUUUUAUUAGUUGCCCUUCUAGUCAUGAAUUAGGAGGCUGGAUACCAAGACUCACAAUUUAGUGAAGCAUGCUCUCUCACUGGGGUUGGCCCUCAUGUUUGGUUAGGUAUCCCCGGUGAUCUUACUUUCGCCUUUGUAAAUAUUGUGACGAGUUACAUAAGCUUCAUGAGAUUGUCUACAAAAAUAUAUUUUAGAUUAUUGAAAA